AGAAAGCAAAGGAACUUAGUGUGAUUUACCAGUAUAAAAACUCCCUAAAUCUCUGUUGAUGAAUCAACAAAGCAUUCUUCUUACACUAAACUACUAUAACUGUGCAAACAAUAUGGGAGUGAAGAAAAAUAAAUGUUACUAAACUUCUACAGAAACACUAAAGAAUGUUUUGCUUUCUUGUUCAAUUUUACAAACGUAAGUUCUCAAGCUAUACAAAAAUACCAUAUUGCAAUACAUUGCUUCAGUUCGUUUCUAUUUCGUUAUUUUUCCCAUAUCUACUUUAACAGUUUACAAUAUCAACGUAAGGGAAAAAACUUGCAACAUUUAGUAGAAAUGCCUUUUCUUUUCUUACAAAAAAACCCUUUUAGAACAAAACAAACGGGCAAAAGCAUUAAGCAUAUUGCCUAAAUUAAAAUAAAGCGCCCGCUCGUUGACGAAAGCUUCUUGAACUACGCUGUCGUGCAAUGACCGCAGUGAAAAUGCUCACCUGAGAAGUCCGGGUUCCUCCGUGAUCUGAGUGCGGAUCCCCAAGGUGCUUUAUACCAUACUGGGACGGCCCCCGCGUGUGUCACAACCGGUGAGCACGUGACUUUCCCAUCAUAUCUCUUUCGAGGCCCUAUGUUGGCGGACCCAAAGUGGAAAAAUAUUGUGAAAUACAUAACAACAGGAACAAGAAGCCUGUGAUUACCGUCUUGGACACGUUUUCAUGUUGCAUCAGUGUGACACCACAGAAAGCCUUUCAAAGCUGAGGGCUUUAGGUGAAAGGGGCUGUGGCAUCUCUUAACCAGGAGUAACCCCAGCCAGCUCAUCUGGCCUGUGGCCUGAACUUUGAGAUGGCAGGUCAGAGGUCGCUCAGCUGUUUGGCCCGAAGAUGAAGUAGUCAUCUGUGAAGGAGUCA